UGCAAGUCGAGCGGACCGACGGGAGCUUGCUCCCUUAGGUCAGCGGCGGACGGGUGAUUAACACGUGGGUAACCUGCCUGUAAGACUGGGAUAACUCCGGGAAACCGGGGCUAAUACCGGAUGCUUGAUUGAACCGCAUGGUUCAAUCAUAAAAGGUGGCUUUUAGCUACCACUUACAGAUGGACCCGCGGCGCAUUAGCUAGUUGGUGAGGUAACGGCUCACCAAGGCGACGAUGCGUAGCCGACCUGAGAGGGUGAUCGGCCACACUGGGACUGAGACACGGCCCAGACUCCUACGGGAGGCAGCAGUAGGGAAUCUUCCGCAAUGGACGAAAGUCUGACGGAGCAACGCCGCGUGAGUGAUGAAGGUUUUCGGAUCGUAAAACUCUGUUGUUAGGGAAGAACAAGUACCGUUCGAAUAGGGCGGCACCUUGACGGUACCUAACCAGAAAGCCACGGCUAACUACGUGCCAGCAGCCGCGGUAAUACGUAGGUGGCAAGCGUUGUCCGGAAUUAUUGGGCGUAAAGCGCGCGCAGGCGGUUUCUUAAGUCUGAUGUGAAAGCCCCCGGCUCAACCGGGGAGGGUCAUUGG
rnacentral:rRNA from 1 species